rnacentral:misc_RNA from 1 species
GAUGAAGAACGUAGUGAAAUGCGAUAACUAGUGUGAAUUGCAGAAUUCCGUGAAUCAUCGAAUCUUUGAACGCACAUUGCGCCCGCUAGUAUUCUGGCGGGCAUGCCUGUCCGAGCGUCAUUUCAACCCUCAAGCCCCCGGGCUUGGUGUUGGGGAUCGGCGAGCCUCCGCGCCCGCCGUCCCCUAAAUCUAGUGGCGGUCUCGCUGUAGCUUCCUCUGCGUAGUAGCACACCUCGCACUGGGAAACAGCGCGGCCACGCCGUUAAACCCCCAACUUCUGAACGUUUGACCUCGGAUCAGGUAGGAAUACCCGCUGAACUUAAGCAUAUCAAUAAGCGGAGGA